GUGCUCGCUUCAGCAGCACAUAUACUAACAUUGAAACAAUACAGAGAUUAGCAUGGGCCCUGCACAAGGAUGACAUGCAAAUUCGUGAAGUGUUCCAUAUUUUU